rfam:Myotis brandtii contig242475, whole genome shotgun sequence.
GGUGGUUCUCGGGUGACACACCCCGGAAUCGGGCUCCCUCCUCUCUGGUCCCAGUGCGUCACCUGAGAACCACA